rnacentral:ncRNA from 1 species
UCGAUGUCAACCCUUCCUGUCACUGUGAAGCAGAAUUCACCAGGCAUUGGAUUGUUCACCCACUAAUAGGGAAGGUGAGCUGGGAUUAGACCGUGGUGAGACAGCGU